AUUAAUUUUUUGAAUUAUUAUAUGAAUUCAUAUUAUUAUUAGUUGAUGAUUGUGUGUGUGUGUGUUAUAUCAAAGGUUCAAAUCAGAAGGAAAGGAAAAGUCUACAAGUGUUACUUUGUUAUUUUUUAUUUUUCUGUUCUUCAUGCAUUGAGGAUUUCACCUCAUCAUUUAUUGUCCAGCGAUUUCCCUAUUCCGAUGGAGUAGGGGAGACUAUUCUCACCUAUCUUGGAGUGGGUCUGCUGUCUCCUUUCUUCUAGAUGGGGCAGUGUGUGUAAAUAGGGUUCUUUUUUGGUGAUCGAUUUGGGGUUUGAUCUUUGGGUUGGAGGUUUGAGUUAACUCCUUGGAGUUGGAUGCACAGUGCCCCUUGAAUCUCAUGAUGUAGACGUGUUUUGGUGCCUCUGGUGCGCCGUUGGCGUUGGCUUCAACAGGAUCAAAAGGGUUCUCUUGCAGAAGGAAAGGGUGGAGGUUCCCCGAGAGUCUUUAGGAGUCCACAUUAGCAGGUGUUGCCACCCUCUUGAAUGGGCUUACCUCUUAUCCUUCAACUCCUCCCUCUAUAGGCUAUCGGCUGAUGUAGAACAACUUGGACUCCAUGGUUGCUUGUUAUUAUUAGUCCUGAAGGGUUGUUAGCUGUGGGAUUCUCUCAUUUGUGUGUUGGUAGAGUACUUAUCUGUUUGGUCUGGAGUUUUGUCUUAAAAGUUGUAUGGGAUCCAUGGCUGACCCAAAAGGAGCAGCGUUGCUAAAUGAAGGAUAUGGGUCUUCCUUUUUCCUCUGGGUGCCCUACCCGAUUAAUCUAGGGCAACUGUUCUCUUCUAAUUUGGACCUGUUACUGGGUUUGUUUGUUGGGUUAACUAUUGUAAUGAGGUGUUUUUAGUAGCUAGUUGUUUCUUUUUUUAGCAAACCAAGGCUUGUAACACUUUCUCUAAACCUUUUUAAGACUAUUUCUAAUGAA